rnacentral:rRNA from 1 species
GAUGAACGCUGGCGGCGUGCUUAACACAUGCAAGUCGAACGAUGAAGCCCAGCUUGCUGGGUGGAUUAGUGGCGAACGGGUGAGUAACACGUGAGUAACCUGCCCUUGACUCUGGGAUAAGCCUGUGACACUGGGUCUAAUACUGGAUAUGUCUUCUCAUCGCAUGGUGGGGGGUGGAACGAUUUCUUGGUCUUGGAUGGACUCGCGGCCUAUCAGCUUGUUGGUGAGGUACCGGCUCACCAAGGCGACGGCGGGUAGCCGGCCUGAGAGGGUGACCGGCCACACUGGGACUGAGACACGGCCCAGACUCCUACGGGAGGCAGAAGUGGGGAAUAUUGAACAAUGGGCGCAAGCCUGAUGCAGGGACGCCGCGUGAGGGAUGACGGCCUUCGGGUUGUAACCCUCUUUCAGUAGGGAAGAAGCGAGAGUGACGGUACCUGCAGAAGAGGCGCGGGCUAACUACGUG